rnacentral:rRNA from 1 species
AUGGCAACCCUUCGAGUCGACGAAAUUCAUAAAAUUCUCCUCGAACGUAUUGAACAAUAUAAUAGGAAAGUAGGGAUUGAGAAUAUAGGUCGCGUAGUUCAAGUGGGGGAUGGGAUUGCUCGUAUUAUUGGUCUUGGUGAAAUAAUGUCAGGUGAAUUAGUCGAAUUUGCAGAAGGUACUAGGGGUAUUGCUCUGAAUUUGGAAUCCAAAAAUGUUGGGAUUGUAUUAAUGGGCGAUGGGUUGAUGAUACAAGAGGGAAAUUUUGUAAAAGCAACAGGAAGAAUUGCUCGUAUACCCGUGAGUGAGGCUUACUUGGGUCGUGUUGUAAAUGCUCUGGCUAAACCUAUUGAUGGGAAAGGCGAAAUUAUAGCUUCCGAAUCUCGCUUAAUUGAAUCUCCUGCUCCAAGUAUAAUUUCCAGGCGUUCUGUAUACGAACCUCUUCAAACAGGGCUUAUUGCUAUCGAUUCGAUGAUCCCUAUAGGGCGCGGUCAGCGAGAGUUAAUUAUUGGGGACAGACAGACUGGCAAAACAGCAGUAGCCACAGAUAUAAUUCUCAAUCAAAAAGGGCAAGGUGUAAUAUGUGUUUAUGUAGCUAUCGGUCAAAGAGCAUCCUCCGUAGCUCAAGUAGUAACUACUUUCCAUGAGGAGGGGGCCAUGGAAUACACUAUUGUAGUAGCUAAAAUGGCGGAUUCACCUGCUACACUACAAUACCUCGCUACUUAUACGGGAGCAGCCCUGGCUGAGUAUUUUAUGUACCGCGAACGGCAUACUUUAAUAAUUUAUGAUGAUCUCUCCAAACAGGCACAAGCUUAUCGCCAAAUGUCCCUUCUAUUAACAAGACCUCCCGGCCAUGAGGCUUAUCCAGGGGAUGUUUUUUAUUUGCAUUCACGCCUUUUAGAGAGAGCCGCUAAAUUAAAUUCUCUUUUAGGCGAAGGAAGUAUGACCGCUUUACCAAUAGUUGAGACUCAAUCUGGAGACAUUUCCGCCUAUAUUCCUACUAAUGUAAUCUCCAUUACAGAUGGACAAAUAUUCUUAUCUGCGGAUCUAUUCAAUGCCGGAAUUCGACCCGCUACUAAUGUGGGUAUUUCCGUUUCCAGAGUAGGAUCCGCGGCUCAAAUUAAAGCCAUGAAACAAGUAGCUGGCAAAAUUGGAACUAGCGCAAUUCGCAGAGUUACAAGCCUUUGCACAAUUCGCCUCUGCUCUCGAUAA